UGGUGUGUGGUUGAUUUGGCUGAUCUGGCUGGCUAGGCAGGUGUCCCCUUCCUCCUCACCGUUCCAUGUGCGUCCCUCCUGAAGCUGUGUGCUCAGUUGAAGAGGAUGACCUUCCCCAAAUAGAAGAGGAUCAGUCUUCAUUCAAGGGUAUACGAGUAGCUGUGCUCCCCUGCUAGAGCCUCCAAACAAACUCUCAUGUACUGGACCAUCAUCAAAGUCCCUAUCUGCAUACUGUACCAUGGAUUUUCCUU
rnacentral:sRNA from 1 species